ensembl:lncRNA
UUCUUUCCUUUCUUCUUUCCUUUCUUUACUCUUCUUUCCUUUCUUAUUUCCUUCUUUCACUCUUCUUUCUUUUCUUCUUCCUUUCUUAACUUUUGCAUUUCAUGCACUGGUAUUUCCUUCAGGAAAUGCAUUUUCUAGAAAUGCAUUUUCUAGUUAUUAUUCUCUUUACCGACUUCUGCGCUUAAUUCAGCUCGAACCGCUUAACUUAAAAACUUCGUUCAAACUUUGGCGCGUAGGUCUUGUAAAGGACACUUAUGCUAUGUA